UGUAAUUUCCUGCUCUACUUAAGAGAAGAGAGGCCUCUUGACACUUCCUGUGGUUUGGGUCUAGGAGGGAAGGGAGAGAUAGCAAGAGUCAUGUGAUUAUCUUCUCGAGUGGGAGGAGAAACUAGGCGGGGAGAUGUGACGAGGCAUCUUCUAUAAAUGGGACAACCACCACUGCCUCCAUCUCUCUCUCUGCUUCAUCUGGCAGCUGGUUUCCCUGGUGGUCCGGAAAGAUUGCAAACAACCAAGAGGAUACAAUCCAUCUUCCUUCUUGAAUCCUACCUCUGGACCAAGACUGGCUGAAAUACUUGCUUUCUACACCAAAACCUGAACUACUGUCUCCACAAUCUGCCCAAGAAGAUUUCAAGGUGAGGAUUGAGCAAUGCAGUAUCAAAGAAAUGUCAUUCAACAGCUGUCACUCAGAUAUUUUUUUCCAAUUCAUCACCACUCUUCAAUAAUUAUCAGACAUUCUGCUAAAAUCUCAAGCAUGAACAAUUUAUCUCUAAGCCAGUAUAGAGUAAUUCUGUGUCCUUUCAAAGUUUUGAACUACAACUUCCACACAAUCUUGCAACUCCCACUGCUAUUCGAGCAGAAAAAUUGAAAUGCAUCAUAUUACCUCUACUCUAUUAUCAUACCUCUUAUGAGGAAUUGGUAAUCUCUAGAGCUAAACAUACAAUGUAAACAAUUGUGGCAGGUUAAGUAAGCUGGAAUGAUGGCUACCAAUUUGGAAAAAAAGAGUUUCUUUGGUAAAACAUACACUUGGUAAGCCAGAUUCUACCACUUACUUCAAGACCAAUGACAUGAAGACAUCAAGAGAGAGAUAUGUUUUUUAAAAAAAUAAUUCUGCCAUUAUUAGUGAAAUCCUUGUAUAAAUAACUAAUAUGCUUAGCACUUAAAAAAGAGGGUGAGGGAGUGGGAAUGAAAAGGAUGGAUUUAGUUCAGUUUCACACAAUUGGGUUUUGCCUUAGCACAUUCAUCCAAAAAGUGCCUUUUAAGGGCAAAAGAAAACAACUGGUAAACCUCCCCCCCCUACACACAAAGAAAUCAGGGCUGCACAGAGAAAAGCAAGUUAAGAUAGAAAGAGAUGUAUAAAAAAAAUUUGGGAUGCAAAAUGAGCAUUGACUGUCUACACUGGACUUGCAACACACUACUAAAAAGUACAGGCUGCACAUAUUCAUAUAUUCUUAGCAUUUUGCCACAUGAACUGGUUCAAAGGAGUCACAUGAAAUUGCCAUCUAAAAAGAGGAAGGUGAAGCACCAGUUUUUCCUUUCCUAAAUGUUUUUACUUAUAAGCUAAUUCAUAAGUUACUUAGUCUUUCUACAGCUGGAGCAAUGGGGGGUGGGGGGAAGGGGAGAGAUAACCAGAUAGAAGGAAAUGGAAGAGAAAAAUAGAAAAAAAAUUUAAGCCAUUCUCAGAGAAUACGGAACCUUAUUUUUUACACAAUUUUGCCAUGUGUAUUUAGUAAAGCGAUGAACCCAUCAAGAUUGAAUUUAUUUGCCAUUUUACCCUCUUGCUAGAAGCAGUAGAAACUACAUAUAGGCUGUGAAUGUAUUUAGGCACCAAGAGUACUUUUAAUACUAGUAAAAAUGUUGUCUCACUCCUAGCCCACAAAAUAGACUGUCAAACCUCUCCUCCUGCUAGUGUCUCCCUGUUUUAUCAGCAACCAGGGAGCUCUCAGCCGGUGGAGUAGGGGAGACGUAGUAGUAGGACAGCUCAGAAGGUGGUUCUGAAUGAAGACAACAGUGAAAGCCAGUCACAGAUCAAAGCUACAUUUUAUGGACAGUGGACUCAUCCAUAAAGUAGAAAGCACUACUAAACGCUUGUGUCCAAGUGUAGUGUUUCCUACUUUAUGGAUGAGUGUACUGUGAGCAACGGAGGCAACAAGGGACAACACAAUCAAGAAUGGAAAACAGGCAGCAGUAUAACGUGUAAGUAUUGUCUGAUUGUCCACAGAUUAUAUAGCACAACGUUUCAUUUAGGUACAGAUUGCUUUUGAUGUACUGCCAUUGCAUUCAUCCCUUUCCCAGCUUUUGGACUCAGAAUUCCCCAAUCUACGUUUAGGACAAUUUUGUAUGUUUCUGUGUUUAAGUAAAAUAAAGGAGAAAAGCUAACAAAA